GGAAGCUGAAUUAGUGAGGAUGACUCCUGCUCCUGUCAUCUUUAAGCGCCUCACACAUCUUUACCUGCACAUGAGGAAAAUCACUCCUGUAGAAUGCAGAUGUUCAGAGGGAGAUGAUGCCACAUCUGGUCCAGCUGAUGGAAGGUCUUGAAGUUCUCUGACUGGCCUCGACUGAAGAUGGUCGUCUCACUGGAUUUAAGGUUCAGAUGCUCAGUAACAAACUCCACCAAUGUGCCAACAGGGAAGCUUUAGGUUUAUUAAAUGUUGCUAUGAAGGUAUCGCUGUUUUUCUUAGUGAAUGCAAUGAGCUCCAACUGAAAGUUGAAUUAGAACUUAGAAGUAAAUCCUUCCAUCUGAAAGGAUUUAGUUGCAUUAAUAACCUCAUAACAUUCUAAUUUUUAUUUCAGUCUUGGCUGGAAAUAGAAUCUCUGUAUUGAUUCAGGUAAAAACUGAACUUCACAGCAUGUUGGAGCAAAACAACAGAUGAAAACUGUGAUGGUGUUGGAUUGUCAGACUGUAAUGUUGCAGCUCAAAGCAGCUUUUCUAUCUCAGUUCAUUCUGACAUUCAGCUAUAAAUCAACACAGCAGAUGGUGAUCCAUGCUGUGGAAGUCUCACAUCUCCUGAUUUAAUGGAGCUGCUUUGCACUUUUUACACUGUUUAUUCACCAACACUUUAUUUAAUAAAAGUCCCAUCUAGUUUUUAUGAGGAAUGUGAUGUUUUAAUUUCUCUGUGAAUAACUGCAGUCUAAUGCAACAGCUGGAGUUGUAACAUCUGUCCUGAUAUUGAUCAUGAAGUAUUGAUCAGAAUACUUAUGGUUAGCAGUCAUCCCUGAAGUUUUACAUUAAAAUCUUUACUUGUGUUGUGAACUUUGGUAAGAAGCAGAAACUUUUACGUUGCCAUGGAUACAUGAGUGUUAAAUUCUGUCCAUGUUUCCAUUUUGGGAAAUUCAGUCCAGUUCCAGAAUGUGGAGGAAUUUAGUCUCACAAUCACAGACAACAAAUAUUAUCUGAAAGUCGGGUUAUUGUUGUUUAUCAGCACAAUACAAAAAGAUUAAUGUUAGAAAUAUUCCAGUUAAGACUCUAGAAUAUCAUGAUUUAUGUAAAUUUACCUCAAUAAUAUGAAUGUUCAGGUUAAGAUUGUACACUGAUAUUUAUUAUGCAAGUUUAGCUGAUUAAAGUUUAUGACUCUGCACUAAAAUAUUAUUUAAAUUGACAUCAUUAUUAUAUUUAGGGUCAGACCCUACAGUAUUGAGAUUAAGAAAUCAAAUAUUCUAUAAAAUGUAAAUACACUGAACUCAUUUGGAUAUAUUUAAGUGAGACUCUACAAUAUUAUUUGACACAAAUCUAUCUAAAUCAACAUUAAUAAUAAUUUUUACUCCAAACAUUUACUGGACUGAUUUAAAUAUUAAAAUCACUCCUUUCUAAUCCUCUGCUGUGCGUUCAAACCUGAGGCCUUAAAUAGAAACACACAAGUAUCUGAUUGAAGGAACUUCUGCAGAGUCCUGGUUCCAGAACAUGAUGAUAGAAUUAUAGACAAACUUUAACAAAAGCUGCCUGAGAGUUUAUAGGUUUUUAUGUUAAAUUUCUUCAGUAAUUUAAUGAGAGUUAUCAGCAAAAAUCAAGUGUUCAUUUGAUGAAAUUCAUUUCCUAAAACAUACAGAAUUGGAGCUCAUAUCUUUGGCAGCUGUAAAGUUUCUGCUCCUUCAAAGUUCACAACACAAUGAAUGAAUUCCUAAAACACUCUCAAUGCUGGAGAGCGUUUGUGAUGCUGAAGCAGUGAUCAGUUUUUCUGUUUCUUCUCUGGAGAUGCACAAUGAGGGACGUCUGCAGUGACUGAGAAAGAGUCUCGCCACAUCCUGACAUGAGGAAAAAGACUUUAUUGAAGACUACAAUGAGAAAAACUAUCAGACAGCAGACGGCUGCAUUCAAGUCUGUAGCUACUGAAUUCAUGGAUGAAUCAUCUGGCACUAGAGAAGAAGACCAUCAAACAUCCACGUCAGCUGAUGGAGGUCCAAGAGUCUCACCAAACAAACAACCUACAGAGUGAAGACCUCAAAUCUGAUUGGAUGGCCUCCUAUUCAGCCACAUGUGUGAACAAAUGCCUCUAAGCUGAUUUGUUUUCUAAAAUAAAUCUAGUUUGAGUCCUAA